rnacentral:misc_RNA from 1 species
GAUGAAGAACGUAGCGAAAUGCGAUAAGUAAUGUGAAUUGCAGAAUUCAGUGAAUCAUCGAAUCUUUGAACGCACAUUGCGCCCCUUGGUAUUCCGAGGGGCAUGCCUGUUCGAGCGUCAUUAUAACCCCUCAAGCUCAGCUUGGUGUUGGGGCCUGCUGCACUGGCAGCCCUUAAAAUCAGUGGCGGCGCCAUCUGGCUCUAAGCGUAGUAAUUCUUCUCGCUAUGGAGUCCUGGUGGAUGCUUGCCAUCAAACCCCAAUUUUUCUAUGGUUGACCUCGGAUCAGGUAGGGAUACCCGCUGAACUUAAGCAUAUCAAUAAGCGGAGGA